rnacentral:lncRNA from 1 species
AUGCGCACCCCACACACCCGCCGCGGCGGAAAAAGGCGGAUCGGGGCUUUUGUCUGGAGCCGCGGCAGCCUCAGCUCUCCGCGAGCUCCCCGGGAAGGCAGCUCCGGCCGAGGACGGGGGCUGAGCUCAAAUCUUUAUUUUCCUGAAGGACCGAACCCUUGUCUAUGUGUUUUAACACUUUGGAAAAAAACCCCAAACCCUAUGAAAACCAGCACAAAUGUCAGGCAGACUGAGGUUUUCCUCUGCAAAUCCAAAGAUCCUGAACUAUUCCUGCUGUGCAAGGUCAGCAGCCAGAAAGAACAUCCCCAGCCCCCCAGAGCAUCACGUCCCAAGUGUGUAGGUUAAGACUGUGCCUGCCAACCAAAGCCAUGUUAAAGUCCACAGAAGGUCAUGAUGGG